AGUGCCUGAACGAGGACGACCAAGAUGACAUGCCAUCCAUAGAAUGUGCAGCAAGUGACAACUUCUGCAAAUUUGAUUUCACAAGCGGAGAGCUUGUCAUUUCUUGUGCAGAGAGUUGUGUCCCCGGGGAUGUGGUCGGCUGCUGUAACACGGACAACUGUGAGGCCGAACUUCCCGAAGACGAGGUUAACGACGAUGAACAGUGAGACGAUAUCGCGGUUCUCACGUUUACUCUGAAAGUUCAAUCACCGCCACGACGGGAAAAUGAAUAAUAGAAGCAAUAAUUCUUCUCAUGACGUCGAUGAUUUGUUUGAUUCGUUCACCAAACUUCACGUCGAUUUUGUCUUCUACUUAUAAAAUCUGAAUGAAAUUAAAACAAGAAUUACGAUCUAA